GAUGAACGCUGGCGGCAGGCCUAACACAUGCAAGUCGAACGAGUGGCGGACGGGUGAGUAAUGUCUGGGAAACUGCCCGCUGGAGGGGGAUAACUACUGGAAACGGUAGCUAAUACCGCAUACCAUCGGAUGUGCCCAGAGGGGAUUAGCUAGUAGGGGGGGUAACGGCUCACCUAGGCCACGAUCCCUAGAUGGUCUGAGAGGAGGACCAGCCACACUGGAACUGAGACACGGGCCAGCCUCCGACGGGAGGCAGCAUUGGGGAAUAUUGCACAAUGGGCGCAAUCCUGAUGCAGCCAUGCCGGUUGUAUGAAGAAGGCCUUCGGGUUGUAAAGUACUUUCAGCGAGGAGGCGUUACUCACAGAAGAAGCACCGGCUAACUCCGUGCCAGCAGCCGCGGUAAGAC
rnacentral:rRNA from 1 species